CCUACGGGAGGCAGCAGUGAGGAAUAUUGGUCAAUGGACGAGAGUCUGAACCAGCCAAGUAGCGUGAAGGAUGACUGUCCUAUGGGUUGUAAACUUCUUUUAUAUGGGAAUAAAAUGUUCCACGUGUGGGAUUUUGUAUGUACUAUAUGAAUAAGGAUCGGCUAACUCCGGGCCAGCAGCCGCGGUAAUACGGAGGAUCCGAGCGUUAUCCGGGUUUAUUGGGUUUAAAGGGAGCGUAGGUGGAUUGUUAAGUCAGUUGUGAAAGUUUGCGGCUCAACCGUAAGAUUGCAGUUGAAACUGGCAGUCUUGAGUACAGUAGAGGUGGGCGGAAUGCGUGGUGUAGCGGUGAAAUGCUUAGAUAUCACGAAGAACUCCGAUUGCGAAGGCAGUUCACUGGACUGCAACUGACACUGAGGCUCGAAAGUGUGGGUAUCAAACAGGAUUAGAUACCCCAGUAGUC
rnacentral:rRNA from 1 species